rnacentral:snRNA from 1 species
AUACUUACCUGGCAGGGGAAAUACCAUGAUCAUCACUAAGGCGGUUUUCCUAGUUGCUGGGGAUAACUGCUUUUCUGGCAUAAGCUAGUAUCCUUGGAGGUAAUGUAUAAACCUCCCACUUUCUCUUCCAGUGGGAAGAUCUUGGCUUCAUGCCCAUUUUAUGGAAGUGGGAGACUCUUC